GACGAACGCUGGCGGCGUGCCUAAUACAUGCAAGUCGAGCGGACUUUCAAGAAGCUUGCUUUUUGAAAGUUAGCGGCGGACGGGUGAAUAACACGUGGGCAACCUGCCUGUAAGACGGGGAUAACUCCGGGAAACCGGGGCUAAUACCGGAUAAUAUCUUUCUUCGCAUGAAGGAAGGUUGAAAGGCGGCGCAAGCUGCCGCUCGCAGAUGGGCCCGCGGCGCAUUAGCUAGUUGGUGAGGUAACGGCUCACCAAGGCGACGAUGCGUAGCCGACCUGAGAGGGUGAUCAGCCACACUGGGACUGAGACACGGCACAGACUCCUACGGGAGGCAGCAGUAGGGAAUCUUCCGCAAUGGACGAAAGUCUGACGGAGCAACGCCGCGUGAGCGAAGAAGGUCUUCGGAUCGUAAAGCUCUGUUGUCAGGGAAGAACAAGUACCGUUCGAAUAGGGCGGAACCUUGACGGUACCUGACCAGAAAGCCACGGCUAACUACGUGCCAGCCGCCGCGGUAA
rnacentral:rRNA from 1 species